rnacentral:lncRNA from 1 species
AUGACAGAGAUGAUGGGUUUGUUCUUUCUGUUAGCUAAUUAUCUGCCCUGGGAUGUUCUUUCUGUUAGCUAAUUAUCUGCCCUGGGUUGUUCUUUCUGUUAGCUAAUUAUCUGCCCUGGGUUGCCAACUAUGGUGAUCUACUAGUUCUGUGUGAUUGUAAACCUUCAGAGUUGUUGAAUGUUUACCAAAAAUUUCUGGAUUUUAAUAUCAAAAAGGUUAUUUUGGCCUCAUUGGUUUCAACAUUUCUGGUCUGAGAUUUGAUGGCCCCAAAUGUAAGAGAUUACUUCUCCAAGAUUCAUGUAAUCGAGAGUUUCAGCAACUUAUGGCAGACAAAUAUCAAAGAACCAGAACAAUUGCAUCUGUUUUUCUUUUCGCAUGAACUGACGAGAUUCAUACAAAUUCAGUCUGAAGGCAAACCCUCAGGGCCUUGUUGGACGGAUGGUGGUAUUUGUUCAGACUUGAACUAAACUGGAGCUCCGAAAAGAAAUAUCCCUACCUAGUUCAAUCAACCCCUAAAACUGCUGAAGUUCAACAACAACAACAAAAAACCUAAAACUACCGAUGAUGGAUAGAACACAAAAGCUAUCGUCCUGUGCACUGCAUUUAGGAACUCAAGAGGUGUUCUUUCAACUAUGUGACGAUGUUCCAUGAGCUGCCAUGCUUCAGAACUACGGCGCCUUUGUUGCCCCUGGCACCUGGGCAGGCAGUGCGAGGACACAGAACUUUGGACUAUUUGGUACCUCAUCAUAAAAGUUCAGCAGAAACUGUUUGCGAGGUUUGCGGCGCGGCUUGCCCGGUAAUGAUCGAGCCUCAUUGGGUGUAAUUUCGUCGGCGGCGGCAGCCAUCAAUGUCGGUUUGCGCAACCAGCCACGGCCCUUGGGUGGAGCAGAUGCAACGUUGCCACCGGCCUUCUUGUCUGCAAUUGAUGUUGAGGGAGAGCCGCAGGUGGAUUUUGCCGGCUCUGAUCUGCAGGUCCGACGACGGCGCUUGUGCUUCACAAAUGGAGCUUCGGUGUCACCCUCCUUGUCGGAGGCUAGGGCCCGAGCAGAGUUUUCGUCAGCCGCCACAAGGGGCAGUUUGCAGGGCUGGGUGCUGCACUCUGGCGUACUGAAUGCGGCAGGUUCCUUGGCCAAGAGCGGCCGCUUGGCUGCUGGAGCCUCGCCGCCAUCUUCCUCCGUAAGUAAUGCUGCACCAGAGCCGUCGUUGACGAUCGCAAGUGCCAGCUCGCGAGGUUCCCCAUGGUUCUUAUCAGUGGCGGAUGGAGCCUCAGUGCUGUCUUUCUUGUCCGUGACGAGCGCUUCGCCGGAGACGUCGGCCGCCCCUACAUCCGUCAGAAGGCGAGACCGGCCACGGCGUUUGGGCAUCGCGGAUGGCGACCCGCUCACAAACUUCUUGCCAGAAGCCGGCUUGGGCGCCGAGCCAUCCUUCCGAGGCCGACCGCGGCCGCGCUUGGCCCCUGUCAUCGGAGGCCCAGCACUCACCGCCACCGCAGCGGCCUGCGAAUCAUCCCUCCUAGGCCGACCGCGCCCACGCUUGACCACCACCAGCGAGCUAUCCUUCCUAGGCCGACCGCGGGCGCGCUUGGGCUGUGCCGGCGCAGCAGCCGCCGCCAGGACAUCGGUGAGUGCGAGCUCGGGCUGGGGCUCGUCGUCGGAGCAGCAAGAGUACCGCCCAGGCGCGGCGCAGACGAAGAGGCCCUCGGCGACGUGCUUGGCGAGGUAGUAGCGGAGGAACCUGUCGUGCGCGGCGGGGACGCCGGGGUACCUGCCGCGGAUGAAGCCCGAGAUGGCGGACUCCGCCGAGCCGCCGUCCUCGCCCAGCGCCUGGAUCGCCUCUUCGAUCAUCUGCAACCAGACGAGCACGCAAACGUCAAACCGGCGGCGGCAGCCCAUCCAAACCCCAUUGCCAUUGACAACCAAGCGCGAGCUAAUCUGGGUUGAGAGCAAGCGAUUUCUCCUCACAUCGGAGGCGAUGCUCGAUUUUUCUUUCCGAAUCAACGAGGAGCAUCUGUGGCUGGCGAUGCUCAAUUAGUGAUUUCCUAAUUCGAUUCGGGUGGGUGGGUGGAGAUUAAAGAGCAAAUCCAACUGUUCUCCCCAUAGAGAGAAAAUCGACCAAAUAAACGGGGAGGAAUAGGUAGGCGAUUAAUCGACCGGGGAGAAGUGAUUACCCAUGAAUACGGUGGAUGAUCCGGCGUGGGAUCCCGGCGCUUGGGCACGGCGGCGGCGGCGGCCGCCGACGACGACGGCUCCCCCAGCGUCGCCUGCCCCGCCGCGACGGCCAGCAUUGCGCGGCGGGGGGCGGGCGGAUCGGUGGGAGGGAGGGGGAGGAGACCAGGGGCGGAAAGGGGAGGGCGCAAAUCUAGAAGAGACGAGAGGCAGGUUUAAGGAGGGGGAGAAGGAAGGAAGCGGAGGAACGCGUCUGGUGCUUCUGGGCUCCGGGGAAAGGAAAGCCCGACCGUCUCGGACCAUAUUGCCCUUUGCUGUAAGUGAUUCGCCUCUUCUGUCGUCGUCUCCGAUGUUGGGUGGAGAUAUUUCGAACGCUCGAGAUCGAAUCGCCAUGGGCUCUUCCAUUCAACAGAGUACAAUAAAAAUCAUCAAAACGUUUGGCAUUGUUGAGCAAGGACAUUGUUUGGGUUUGGGAAGGAAAAAGUCCAAAACAAACCUAGAAUUUGUCGGCGAAAGCUAAAUCAAACCCUGAACUCUCAAUCCUUGAAAUCAGCACACCAAACUAUGUUAUCCCGGUCUAUUUUAAACCUUGAGAGGAUUUAGCCGGUAUUUGCUGAACUGGGCCGGCCCAUUAGCAGCGUCGCUCGCGCGCGCCCACUGCUCCUGGUUUUCUUUGUUUUUGCCUUUUUGUUUUGUUAUCUUUUUUCUUUUUACACAUGUCUAUUUUUUCUUUGUACCCAAUAUACAUUUUUAACGCACACAUAAAAUAUUUUUUGAUAAACUUUUGAUAUUUUAAAAUACAUCAUGUACAUUUUUAAAUUAAAUGUUUUCAAAUUUUUUAUACAUAUUUAUUAUUUAAGUACAUGUUUACAUUUUCUUAAUGAUAAUAAACGUAUUAUAAAACUAAACAAACACUCUUUUUCAUGGUUCAACAUUUUCAAAUUCGUAGGCACUUUUUUCAAACACAACCCAAGUAUAUUCUGUUAAGUGUAAGACACAAUUUUUUACAACACGCAAACUUUUUAUUUACAUUGUACACACAGUUUUGUUUGAAAAGCUCACAAACACAUUUUUUGAAACUUGUAAACAUUAUUGAAAUGCUACAUUUUUUCAAAUGUAUGAAACAUUUUUUUGAGUUACACAAAUAUUAUUAUACAUUGUAUAAACAUUUGUUUGAAUUUGUCCGUACAUUUUUUUAAACUUGCGAUAUUUUUUAGAUGUCACAAAAUAAUUUCUUACAGUUUUUUCAGAUUUAGAAAUUUGUUCAUAUUUUUAAAAAUUUCAAAAAGCAUUCACACUUUAAAAUUAUGUUCAGGUUUCAGAAAAUGUUUAUGUUUCAAAAAGUGUUCGCACUUAAAAAAAAUUGUUCAGCUUUCAGAAAAUAAAAGCCCGCUUCAUGUCUGGUGGGCUGACCCAGACGAGUCCUUAGCCAACGAUCCGAAACAAAAUUCUAAAAACAUUACUUUAAAAUGCGACACGAUUUUUAAAAAUCUGAAACAUUUUCAUAGGAUGUGAAGAACUUUUGAAAUUCUGAACAUUUUUUAGAAUUGUUUUCAGAAUCACAAACAAUUUUUUAAAAUGCGAAUAUAAUUUCAAAAUUCCAGAAAAAAUUAAAAACACCAAAGGAAUUGAAUUUUGUGUGAAAAAUAGAAAACAACAAUAUUUUUUAACUUUUGAAUAUUUAAAAAAUGCGUGAAUAUAUUUUAAAGUUUACGAUUUUGUUGUUGUGUUAUAGUGGGCCGGCCCGAAUUCUGAGUAGCAGGUUAUCCCCCGGGAUUUUAUUAUUUCCAGUGUGCCAAACAGGUCUAGGGUCCAAAAUAGAUCGGGAUUACAAGUUCAGAGUGUCAACUUUCAGGAUUCAAAGUUCAAGGUUUGAUUUAACUAUCAUCUACAAUUUCAAGGUUUGUUUUGGACUUCUUCCGUUUGGGAACGAACGCUGCAGUGCGGUCUCACCUAACAUUUUUAUGCCACAUUUUGACGGAGGAGCAACAACAGUUGUGUCCUGUGGCGUGUGCCAGGGAUUGGGCAGCGGCCGUCCCGUACCGUGCCUGUCAGUGUUACUGUUGGCCAGCUGCCGUCCCGUAGUGUUACUGUAGUGCAGUAGAACGUGUUAUUAAAAGAAAAGUACUACUCUAUUAGCUCUGCCUCUAUCAGGGUAGUUUUAUAAAACAUAUAAAAAUCGGUAAUUGCCUUUGGUGACCGAGCUCACUGGAGGCCUCGAGAUUCAAAAUUCAAAUUUCAUCGAAAUUCAUAUUUUUAUAUUUCAAAAAAAUCUGAAAAAAGUACAGAUAUACAUGAAGGCAUAACACACAUGUGUGUAAAUUUUCAGGCAAAACACGUUGAAAUGAGGGCUGUGCAAAAAAGACAAAUCUGGGGUUGUUUAACACAUGAUAAUAUUCAUCAUCCCAGGCCAUGAAUUUGUCUUUUUUGUACAGAUCGCAUUUCAGCGUAUUUCAUCAUGAAAUUUUACACACAUGUAGGUUACAUCCUUACAUACACGCAUAUAUUUUUUCAGAAUUUUUUAAAAUAAAGGCCUCCAUGAAGCUCGGCCUCCAAAACACCAUUCUCUUAAAAAUGGAGUAUCUGAAAAAGCAUCGCCAAGAACCUUGUGUUGAGCAUUUCCAUGACAACUGGCGCAGCUACCGGUGUGCUAAAUGCUACUCGUAAGUUAUAAUAUUUUUGCUAUUGUAGAUAUAAAUAUUUUUCUUUACAAACUUGGUCAAAGUUUGCAAAGUUUGACUUUUCAGAAAAUCUAUAGGCACUACAUUAUGGAACGGAGGGAGUACAACCGACAAUGAUAUUGCGACCGUGAGACGACAUGCUAUGAAAUAUGAGCGACAGUGGCAGAUGUUGUGACCGGUGAGACGUGAUAACCCACAAGUAUAUGGGAUCACAAGUUUUCGAGGAUAGAGUAUUCAACCCAAUUUAUUGAUUUGACACAAGGGGAGCAAAAAAAUAUUCGCGGGUAUUAGCAGUUGAGUUGUCAAUUCAAUCACACAUGUAGAACUAAAUAUCUGCAGCAGAGUGAUCGGUAGCACAAUAGUAUGAUAGUUUGAUAGCAGUAGUAGCAAUAGCAGCAGUAACAGUAGCAGUUUCAUAGUGAUUGUGACAGCAGCAGCGGCAGUAGUAACUUUAGCAAAGAUCAAUAUGUGAAAAGCUCAUAGGCAUUGGAUCAGUGAUGGAUAAUUAUGUUGGAUGACAUUCAUCAUGUAACAAUUAUAACAUAGGGGGACACAGAACUAGCUCCAGUUCAUCAAUGUAAUGUAGGCAUGUAUUCUGCAAAUAGUCAUACAUGCUUAUGAUAAGAACUUGCAUAACAUCUUUUAUCCUGCCCUCCCGUAAUAGCGGGGUCCAUAAGAAAACUAAGGGAUAUUAAGGCCUCCUUUUAAGAGAGAACCGGAACAAAGCAUUAACACCGGACCCUUUUAUGAGAGAACCAGAACCGGAACAUAGUGAAUACAUGAACUCCUCAAACUACGCUAAUCACCGAGAAAAAAAUUCCAAUUAUUGUCACCUUGGGGUAUAUAUAUCAUAACACGUAAUAGGUGCAUACAAAUUACAAGAUAGGAUCAAGAACACAAAUAUAUUCAUGAAAACAUAAAGGUUUCAGAUCUGAAAUCAUGACACUCGGGCCCUAGUGACAAGCAUUAAGCGUACAAAGUCAUAGCAAUAUCAAUCUCAGAACAUAGUGGAUACUAGGGAUCAAGCCCUAACAAAACUGACUCAAUUACAUGGUAAAUCUCAUCCAACCCAUCACCGUCCAGCAAGCCUAUGAAGAAAUUACUCACUCCCGGUGGUGAGCAUCAUGAAAUUGGUGAUGGAGAAUGGUUUAUGAUGACGACGGCGUCGAAUCCGCCUCUCCGGAGCCUCGAACGGACCCCAGAUCAGCCCUCCCGAUGAAGAACAGGAGGUGGUGGCGGCUUUGUAUCGUAAAAUGUGAUGAUUCCUUCUCUCUUAUUUUUUCUUGAUGAAUACGUACUUGUGGAGUUGGAGUUAUGGUUGUGAUACAUCUCCGGCGUAUCUACAAUUUAUGAAGUAUUAAUGCCACGUUUAGAACAAUUUCUAUGUGGUUUUGGUAUCAUUUGAAUGGAACUAACCCGGACUGACGCUGUUUUCAGCAGAACUACCGUGGUGUUGUUUUCUGUGCAGAAAUAAAGUUUUCCAAAUGUAGCGAAACUUUUUGAUGAUUUUUUGGAACAAAAGAGGCACUAAAAGCUUCGUGGAAGGAACAGAAGGGGAAGGAGGUGGCCACUAGGCACCAGGGCGCGCCACUCCUCUCUGGCGCACCCUGGUGGGUAGUGGGCCCCUCGAAGCCCAUAUCAGCGUGAGAACGACGCCAAAAAAACCUAUAAAUACAAAAACCCCCAAAAAUAACUCUAGAUCGGAAGUUCCAUCGCCGCAAACCUCUGUAUCCACAAAAACUCAAUCGAGAGCCCGUUCUAGCACCCUGCCGGAGGGGGAAAUCAUCACCAGAGGCCAUAUUCAUCAUCCCGGCGGCCACCAUGGUGAGAAGGGAGUAGUCCACUCCCGAGUCUAAGGGUUUGUAUCAUUAGCUAUGUGUUUGAUAUCUCUCUCUCUCUCUCUCUCUCUCUCUCUCUCGUGUUCUUGAUUUGGCACGAUCUUGAUGUACCGCGAGCUUUGUUAAUAUAGUUGGAUCAUAUGGUGUUUCUCCCUCUUUAUCUUGUUGUGAUGAAUUGAGUUUUACCUUUGAGAUUUCACUAGUAUCGGAUUGAAUACUUUUAUGGAUUGGAGAACACUUGAUGUAUGUCUUGCGUAUCUGUGGUGACAAUGGGGGUAUUGAUACGUACAUUUUGCAUCAUGCUUUUAUAUUGAUAUUUAUUGCAUUAUGGGUUGUUAUUUCACAUUAUGGUACAAUACUUAUGCCUUUUCUCUCUUAUUUUACAAGAUUUACAUGAAGAGGGAGAAUGCCGACAGCUAGAAUUCUGGACCGGAAAGGAGGAAAUCUGAGAUACUUAUUCUGCACAACUCCAAAUGUCCUGAAACUUUACAGAGAAUGGUUUUAAAAUAUAUAAAAAAUAUUUGGCGAAGAAACAAUAGAAGGAGACCCACACCAGGUGGCCACAAGCUUGGGGGGCACGCCCUACCCCCAGGGCUUGUGGGCCCCCGGCCAUCGUCCGGUGCCCAUCUUAUGCUAUAUGGAGGGUUUUGACCUAGAAAAAAUCAUAAGGAAGCUUUCGAGAUGAAGUGCCGCUGUCUCGAGGUGGAACUUGGGCAGAAGCAAUCUUGGGCUCCGACAGAGCUAUUCUGCGGGGGAAACUUCCCUCCGAGAGGGGGAAAUCAAAGCCAUCGUCAUCACGAACGAUCCUCUCAUCGAGGGAGGGUCAUUCUUCAUCAACAUCUACGUCAGCACCAUCUCCUCUCAAACCUUAGUUCAUCACUUGUAUUCAAUCUUUGUCCCAAAACCUCAGAUUUGUACCUAUGGGUUGCUAGUAGUGUUGAUUACUCCUUGUAGUUGAUGCUAGUUUGUUUAUUUGGUGGAAGAUCAUAUGUUCAGAUCCUUAAUGAUGUUUAUUACCCCUCUGAUCUUGAACAUGAACAUGCUUUGUGAGUAGUUACAUUUGUUCCUGAGGACAUGGGAGAAGUCUUGUUAUAAGUAAUCAUGUGAAUUUGGUAUUCGUUCGAUAUUUUGAUGAGAUGUAGUUGCCUUUCCUCUAGUGGUGUUAUGUGAACAUCGACUACAUGACACUUCACCAUGAUUUGGGCCUAGGGGAAGGCAUUGGGAAGUAAUAAGUAGAUGAUGGGUUGCUAGAGUGACAGAAGCUUAAACCCUAGUUUAUGCGUUGCUUCGUAAGGGCUGAUUUGGAUCCACAUGUUUCAUGCUAUGGUUAGAUUUAUAUUAAUUCUUCUUUCAUAGUUGUGGAUGCUUGCGAGAAGGGUUAAUCAUAAGUGGGAUGCUUGUCCAAGUAAGGACAACACCCAAGAACCGGUCCACCCACAUAUCAAAUUAUCAAAGUAACGAACGCGAAUCAUAUGAACAUGAUGAAAACUAACUUGAUGAUAAUUCCCAUGUGUCCUCGGGAGCGCUUUGCUUUAUAUAAGAGUUCGUCCAGGCUUAUCCUUUGCUACAAAAAGGAUUGAGGCACCUUGCUGCACCUUUGUAACACUUAUUACUUGUUACCCGUUACGAAUUAUCUUAUCACAAAUCUAUUUGGUACCGAUAAUUUCAGUGCCUGCAGAAAAUACCUUGCUGAAAACCGCUUGUCAUUUCCUUCUGUUUCUCGUUGGGUUCGACACUCUUACUUAUUGAAAGGACUACGAUUGAUCCCCUAUACUGGUGGUCAUCAAGACUAUUUUCUGGCGUCGUUACCGGGGAGUGAAGUGCCUUUGGUAAGUGGAAUUUGGCAAGGAAAAAAUUAUAUUAUGUGCUAAAAUUUACUGUUACUUGUCACUAUGGAAAAUCAUCCUUUGAGGGGUUUGUUCGGGGUAUCUUCACCUCGACUGGAAGAACAAAGAGUUGCUCCUCAACCUACUGCACCUACUGAAAAAUAUUUAUUAUGAAAUUCCUUCGGGUAUGAUAGAGAAACUUCUAGCUAAUCCUUAUGCAGGAGAUAGAACACUACAUCCUGAUAUGCAUCUAAUCUAUGUGGAUGAAGUUUGUGGAUUAUUUAAGCUUACAAGUUUGCUCGAAGAUGAAGUCAAGAAGAAGGUCUUCCCUUUAUCUUUGAAGGGAAAGGCAUUUACAUGGUAUAAGCUAUGUGAUGAUAUUGGAGCUUGGAAUUACAACCGAUUGAAAUUAGAAUUUCAUCAGAAGUUUUAUCCUAUGCAUCUGGUUCAUCGUGAUCGGAAUUAUAUAUAUAAUUUUUGGCCUUGUGAAGGAGAAAGUAUCUCUCAAGCUUGGGGGAGGCUUAAGUCAAUGUUAUAUUCAUGCUCCAAUCAUGAGCUCUCAAGAGAAAUUAUUAUUCAGAAUUUUAUGCUCGGCUUUCUCGUAAUGAUCAAUACAUGCUCAAUACUUCUUGUACUGUUUUUUAUGAAGAAGACUAUUGAAUUCCGAUGGGAUCUUUUGGAAAGAAUUAAACGCAACUCCGAAGAUUGGGAGCUCGACGAAGGUAAGGAGUCAGGUAUAAACCUUGAGUUUGAUUGUGUUAAAUCUUUUAUGGAUACCGAUGCCUUUCAUGAAUUUAGCACUAAAUAUGGCUUGAUUCUGAGAUAGUAGCUUCUUUUUGUGAAUCAUUUGCUACUCAUGUUUUCCCUAAGGAGAAGUAUUUUAAAUAUCAUCCUCCCAUUGAAGUAAAAAUAAUAGAACCUGCUAAAGCUGAAGAAGAAGCUAUUACUCAUAAUGUUCAUCUAGUUAUUCCUAUUGCUUACAUUGAGAAACCACCUUUUCCUGUUAGGAUAAAAGAAACAUGCUAAAGCUUCAGUUGUGGCCCCGCCGCGACGGCCAGCAUUGCACGGCGGGGGGCGGGCGGAUUGGUGGGAGCAAGGGAGGGGGAGGAGACCAGGGGCGGAAAGGGGAGGGCGCAAAUCUAGAAGAGAAGAGAGGCAGGUUUAAGGAGGGGGGGACAGAAGUGGAGGAACGCGUCUGGUGCUUCUUGGUUCCACGGAAAGGAAAGCCCGACCUAUUGGGACCAUAUUGCCCUUGCUGUAAGUGAUUCGCCUCUUCUGUCAUCGUCUCCGAUGUUGGGUGGAGAUAUUUCACGGCAGAACGCUCGAGAUCGAAUCGCCAUGGGCUCUUCCUUCAUCCGAGUAUAAUAAAGAGAGAAGUAUAUUUUUCGUCCCUCAACUUUUGACGAAGUCUAGAUUUGGUCCCUCAACUUCGAAACCGGACAACUUGCACCCUCAAUUCUUGAAACGGACAAGUUUCGUCCCUCAAUCACACCAAAGUUGUUUUUGUGCUGACUCAGGGCGGUUUUGACUGGCUCUAGUACAUGUGGCAAUCUGUUUCUCCCCUUCAAUUUAUCUCUCAUGUGGGCAUUCUAUCAAGCACUUGCGUGCAAGAUCUGGAGCUGUUGGUGAUGGUGCGUGCUACCUCUUGAGCACUGCGUUGGUUUUCCCUUGAAGAGGAAAGGGUGAUGCAGCAAAGUAGCGUAAGUAUUUCCCUCAGUUUUUGAGAACCAAGGUAUCAAUCCAGUAGGAGGCCACGCACGAGUCCCUUGCACCUACACAAACAAAUAAAUCCUCGCAACCAACGCGAUAAGGGGUUGUCAAUCCCUACACGGUCACUUACGAGAGUGAGAUCUGAUAGAUAUGAUAAGAUAAUAUUUUUGGUAUUUUUAUGAUAAAGAUGCAAAGUAAAAAAAGUAAAAUAAAAGCGGCGUCAGAAAUAGCUUGUUGUCGGGAAAUUAAUAUGAUGGAAAAUAGACCCGGGGGGCAUAGGUUUCACUAGUGGCUUCUCUCAUGAGCAUAAUUAUUACGGUGGGUGAACAAAUUACUGUUGAGCAAUUGCUAGAAUUGAGCAUAAUUAUGAGAAUAUCUAGGUAUGAUCAUGUAUAUAGGCAUCACGUCCGAGACAAGUAGAGCGACUCCUGCCUGCAUCUACUACUAUUACUCCACACAUCGACCGCUAUCCAGCAUGCAUCUAGAGUAUUAAGUUCAUAAGAACAGAGUAACGCUUUAAGCAAGAUGACAUGAUGUAGAGGGAUAAAUCAUGCAAUAUGAUAUAAACCCCAUCUUGUUAUCCUCGAUGGCAACAAUACAAUACGUGCCUUGCUGCCCCUACUGUCACUGGGAAAGGACACCGCAAGAUUGAACCCAAAGCUAAGCACUUCUCCCAUUGCAAGAAAGAUCAAUCUAGUAGGCCAAACCAAACUGAUAAUUCGAAGAGACUUGCAAAGAUAACCAAUCAUACAUAAAAGAAUUCAGAGAAGAUUCAAAUAUUGUUCAUAGAUAAACUUGAUCAUAAAACCAUAAUUCAUCGGUCUCAACAAACACACUGCAAAAGAAGAUUACAUCGAAUAGGUCUCCACGAGAGAGGGGGAGAACAUUGUAUUGAGAUCCAAAAAGAGAGAAGAAGUCAUCUAGCUAAUAACUAUGGACCCGAAGGUCUGAGGUAAACUACUCACACAUCAUCGAAGAGGCUAUGGUGUUGAUGUUGAAGCCCUCCGUGAUCGAUGUCCCCUCCGGCGGAGCUCCCGAACAGGCCCCAAGAUGGGAUCUCACGGGUACAGAAGGUUGCGGCGGGGGGAUUAGGUUUUUGGCUCCGUAUCUGGUAGUUUGGGGGUACGUGGGUAUAUAUAGGAGGAAGGAGUACGUCGGUGGAGCAACAGGGGGCCCACGAGGGUGGAGGGCGCGCCCUGGGGGGGGGGUAGGCGCGCCCCCUACCUCGUGCCCUCCUGGUUGAUGUCUUGACGUAGGGUCCAAGUCCUCUGGAUCACGUUCGUUCCGAAAAUCAUGUUCCCGAAGGUUUCAUUCCGUUUGGACUCCGUUUGAUAUUCUUUUUCUGCGAAACUCUGAAAUAGGCAAAAAAAGCAAUUCUGGGCUGGGCCUCCGGUUAAUAGGUUAGUCCCAAAAAUAAUAUAAAAGAGUAUAAUAAAGCACAAUAAUGUCCAAAAUAGAAUAUAAUAUAACAUGGAACAAUAAAAAAUUAUAGAUACGUUGGAGACGUAUCAAGCAUCCCCAAGAUUAAUUCCUGCUCGUCCUCGAGUAGGUAAAUGAUAAAAACAGAAUUUUUGAUGUGGAAUGCUACUUGGCAUAAUUUCAAUGUAAUUCUUCUUAAUUGUGGUAUGAAUAUUCAGAUCCGAAAGAUUCAAGACAAAAGUUUAAUAUUGACAUAAAAAUAAUAAUACUUCAAGCAUACCAACUAAGCAAUUAUGUCUUCUCAAAAUAACAUGGCCAAAGAAAGUUAUCCCUAUAAAAUCAUAUAGUCUGGCUAUGCUCUAUCUUCACCACACAAAAUAUUUAAAUCAUGCACAACCCCGAUGACAAGCCAAGCAAUUGUUUCAUACUUUUGACGUUCUCAAACUUUUUCAAUCUUCACGCAAUACAUGAGCGUGAGCCAUGGACAUAGCACUAUAUGUGGAAUAGAAUGGUGGUUGUGGAGAAGACAAAAAGGAGAAGAUAGUCUCACAUCAACUAGGCGCAUCAACGGGCUAUGGAGAUGCCCAUCAAUAGAUAUUAAUGUGAGUGAGUAGGGAUUGCCAUGCAACGGAUGCACUAGAGCUAUAAGUAUAUGAAAGCUCAACAAAAUAAACUAAGUGGGUGUGCAUCCAACUCACUUGCUCACGAAGACCUAGGGCAUAGGAAGCCCAUCAUUGGAAUAUACAAGCCAAGUUCUAUAAUGAAAAAUUCCCACUAGUAUAUGAAAGUGAUAUCAUAGGAGACUCUCUAUCAUGAAGAUCAUGGUGCUACUUUGAAGCACAAGUGUGGUAAAAGGAUAGUAACAUUGUCCCUUCUCUCUUUUUCUCUCAUUCUUUUUUUAUUUGGGCCUUUUCUUCUUCUUCUUUUUUAUGGCCUUUUUUUUAUUUCGUCCGGAGUCUCUUCCCAACUUGUGGGGGAAUCAUAGUCUCCAUCAUCCUUUCCUCACUUGGGACAAUGCUCUAAAAAUGACGAUCAUCACACUUUUAUUUACUUACAACUCAACAAUUACAACUCAAUACUUAGAACAAAAUAUGACUCUAUGUGAAUGCCUCCGGCGGUGUACCGGGAUAUGCAAUGAAUCAAGAGUGACAUGUAUGAAAGAAUUAUGAACGGUGGCUUUGCCACAAAUACAAUGUCAACUACAUGAUCAUGCGAAGCAAUAUGACAAUGAUGGAGCGUGUCAUAGUAAACGGAAUAGUGGUAAGUUGCAUGGCAAUAUAUCUCGGAAUGGCUAUGGAAAUGCCAUAAUAGGUAGGUAUGGUGGCUGUUUUGAGGAAGGUAUAUGGUGGGUGUAUGAUACCGGCGAAAAGUGCGCGGUAUUAGAGAGGCUAGCAAUGGUGGAAGGAAGAAAAGUGCGUAUAAUCCAUGGACUCAACAUUAGUCAUACAGAACUCAUAUACUUAUUGCAAAAAUCUACAAGUUAUCAAAGCAAAGUAUUACGCGCAUGCUCCUAGGGGGAUAGAUUGGUAGGAAAAGACCAUCGCUCGUCCCCGACCGCCACUCAUAAGGAAGAGAAUCAAUAAAUAAAUCAUGCUCCGACUUCAUCACAUAAUGGUUCACCAUACGUGCAUGCUACGGGAAUCACAAACUUUAACACAAGUAUUUCUCAAAUUCAAAAACUACUCAACUAGCAUGACUCUAAUAUCACCAUCUUCAUAUCUCAAAACAAUUAUCAAGCAUCAAACUUCUCAUGGUAUUCAACACACUCAUAAGAAUUUUUCUUUUUUUUCUUUACUAAUCUUGAAUGCCUAUUAUUGUUAAAGCAAACUACCAUGCUGUUUUGUAGGAAUCUCAAAAUAAUCUAAGUGAAGCAUGAGAGAACAAUAGUUUCUAUAAAACAAAUCCACCACCGUGCUCUAAAAGAUAAGUGAAGCACUAGAGCAAAAACUAUAUAACUCAAAAGAUAUAAGUGAAGCACAUAGAGUAUUCUAAUAAUUUCCGAAUCAUGUGUAAAGGUGUGUACAACAAGGAUGAUUGUGGUAAACUAAAAAUCAAAGACUCAAAUCAUACAAGACGCUCCAAGCAAAACACAUAUCAUGUGGUGAAUAAAAAUAUAGCUCCAAGUAAAGUUACCGAUGGAAGUAGACGAAAGAGGGGAUGCCUUCCGGGGCAUCCCCAAGCUUUGGCUUUUAGGUGUCCUUAGAUUAUCUUGGGGUGCCAUGGGCAUCCACAAGCUUAGGCUCUUGCCACUCCUUGUUCCAUAAUCCAUCAAAUCUUUUACCCAAAACUUGAAAACUUCACAACACAAAACUUAACAGAAAAUCUCGUGAGCUCCGUUAGCGAAAGAAAACAAAAGACCACUUCAAGGUACUGUAAUGAACUCAUUCUUUAUUUAUAUUGGUGUUAAACCUACUGUAUUCUAACUUCUCUAUGGUUUAUAAACUCUUUUACUAGCCAUAGAUUCAUCAAAAUAAGCAAACAACACACGAAAAACAGAAUCUGUCAAAAACAAAACAGUCUGUAGUAAUCUGUAACUAACGCAAACUUCUGGAACUCCAAAAAUUCAUCCAAAAUAGGACGACCUAGACAAUUUGUUUAUUGAUCAGCAGCAACUGGAAUCAAUUUUUUAUCACGUUCUGGUGAUUUUUAACAAUUAUUUUCGUCAACAGAAAGUUUCUGGAAUUUACAGCAAGAUCAAUUAACUAUCAUCCAAGAAGAUCCUAUAGGUUUAACUUGGCACAAACACUAAUUAAAACAUAAAAAGACAUCUAACCAGAGGCUAGAUCAAAGAUUUAUUCUUAAACAGAAGCAAAAGGCAAAAAACUAAAAAUAAAAUUGGGUUGCCUCCCAACAAGCGCUAUCGUUUAACGCCCCUAUCUAGGCACAAUAGCAAGGAUAGAUCUAGGUAUUGCCAUCUUUGGUUUAGGGAAGAAAAGAGCAAACUUGUUAUCUAUGGAAUUAAUCUUUAUAUUUUUAUAAAGCACGUGGCUAUCGAUGGUAGAAGAAAGAUUAAGCACGUUGCGGAAAUUUGCAUCUAGGCUAGCUUUUAUCUCUUUAAUAGAUUCGUUUUGGUAGGAGAGCAAAAGAGACGUGGAUUCAACUUUCUCAUUCAUGGGAUGCCCAAAUAUAGUUUUCAUCUUUUCAUAGGUAUCUAUGGGGUCCCCUUCAAGAAAACCCUCUUCAAAAAUAGAAUCUAAAACUUGUUUGAACGAAGCAGGCAACCCAACAUAAAAGCUUUUUAGAUAAACCUCAAUUUGAUAUUGGGGUACAUUGCUAGCCCAGAUCCUUAACAGCCUAUCCAAGCAUCUUUCAAAGAUUCAUCGAGCAAAUAACGAAAAAUUCCAGAGUCAUCUUCAUCAAAAUUAUUAGGACUCUCAUUAACAACUCCGGUAGGUUUUUCCAUAGUAUUAUUUAUGAGUUUAGAUAGAAUAGAAGGAUUGUCCAAAGCACUAAAGCUCGGGAGAGAACCCCCAACUCUUUUUGGUUCCG